CCCAAGCAGAUGCGGAAAACUGGGGCGGGCGAGGGGCGGCGGCGUGUUUUUGUUUUUGUAUUCAUUCAACAUUACCUGAGUCCACUCUGUUGUCUAUCUACCUAAAGAAAGUGUAAUUUUACAUUUCAUUGCUCAGUCUUAAACACUGGCAAUGCAAUCAUCAUGUAUUUUUUUAAAGCAAACAGCCCGCAAGUUUAUAGCGUCCUUUUCUCCCAGCUGCCCAGUUAUGCUUUCUGUAGGAGAUCACUGGUACCAGUCCUCGUUAUGCACACAGUACAACAUAAAGAUAGAAAAAGAAGAGGUUAGUUUACUGUCUACGCUGCAACUGGUGUAAGGAGGCACACUGGAAGGCAGCCAGCACAGGCGUCAAGCAUCCCAGUCUGUAUCCCCACCACAGGAGGGGCAAAGAGAAGCUGGUCCCCACCCUCUGUAACGAAGCCACCCAUCUAGAUGACUAUCUUCAUCGGGAUAAUUGCCCCUUUAACUCUGUGUAGAACAUUUCCACUUCACAAAGCACUUUCAGACUAUUAUCUCACUUAUGCUGAACCACAGCCCUGAGAUGGAGGCAGGUUGCUUAUUCUACUUAUUUUACAGAUAAAGAAGCUCCAACUCAAAAUUAAUAUGAUUUCUCUAAGGUUAGACCCCAGGGAGAUGGGUCAAAUGCUAUAGCUUUGGACAGGCCAUUGUCUGUGAUGUAUCCUCCUGAACCACUGGUCUUCUGCAUCAUGAAGACAGCAAAGUCUUCAUGGGCUCCCACUCCUUAUCGUGUUUGGUGAAUUCCCAGGGGGAUGAGCAGCAUCCGGUUCUUGAGUUCCUGCAACAUAAAAGGCUUAAUGUGUACAAAGGUGAUAAUAAUCACAGAUAGCUUUUAUAAGCAUCUAGGCUGAGUCAGUGUUGUCCUGAGCCGUUUAAAGUUCUUAUCUCUAGUACUCCCAACUGCUGUACAAGGUUGGCACCAUCGUGACUACUUUACAGAUGAUGAAGCAACCUUAGAGAGGCUGGCUUGGUUCAGCUUGCCUGUACUGACUCCUUAGACAUUUCUCUAGUCUGCCCUUGCGGUUGAGGACACUCACCAUACACAGGUUUCAAUAUUAGACCCACUUUAGUUUAAAUGCUAGCUCUCUCACCUGCUUGCUGUAUGACCAUGAACUCUGAACCUGGUCUGUCCUCUGAACAAGAGGAAAAGAAAGCUCUCACUCACAAAAUGCACUUUUAUUUUUUUGCCUUCAGGGUUAUCACUGGGGCUCGGCACUUUACUACUAAUCCAUUGCUCCUGAUGGCCAUCUAUUUCCAUUUUAUAAGAUAGGACAAAGAGAAGUUGAUAGGGGAGGGGAAGACAGAGGGGGGACAGAGAAAUAUAGACACCUGCAGACUUGCUUCACCACUUGCUUCAGUGACCAUCCUGCAAGUGAGGAGCCAGGGCUCGAACUGGGAUCCUUGUGCUGGUCCCUACGCUUUGCACUGUGUGCGCUUAACUUGGUGUGCUACUGCCCAGUCCCCCCAGAGUGCAUUUCUGAGGAUGAAAUGUCAGUGGGAAUUCUGGGGAAGUAUCUAGCUGGCCUAAGAAGCUGCCAGGAGCUGCGAGAUGGAGAGAAGGGCAGGAAGGACAGAGGUAUGUGAG